GACGAGAGGCCCAAGCGUUGUCCGGAAUUACUGGGCGUAAAGCGCGCGUAGGUGGCUUGAUAAGCCGGUUGUGAAAGCCCCGGGCUCAACCUGGGAACGGCAUCCGGAACUGUCAAGCUAGAGUGCAGGAGAGGAAGGUAGAAUUCCCGGUGUAGCGGUGAAAUGCGUAGAGAUCGGGAGGAAUACCAGUGGCGAAGGCGGCCUUCUGGACUGACACUGACACUGAGGUGCGAAAGCGUGGGUAGCAAACAGG
rnacentral:misc_RNA from 1 species